GGAGUUGCAACUUUGGCUGGACAAUUUUUGCUGGUUGAUGGAUAACACUUGACUGAAAAAGAGUGCAGUUACUGGUGUUCUAACUUAAAUCGGAUAUUUACUAGUCUAUUGAGUUACGACUUUGGCUUAAGACCGUGAGGACAAUUUCUGCUGGUUGCUGGAUAAAACUUGAAUGAAAAAGGGUGCAGUUACUGGUGUUCUAACUUAAAUCGGGUUCAACAUGACGAUGACGACGAACUCAAAUCAAUCACAAAUGAUUGAUGACCGAGAUCUAGAUCAAGAUCCCGACCAAUCCUUUGUGGUCAAGAUGCAGAAUUUCGUAAAACCUAGGUGGCUGAACCUCUUCCAGGCUGUCCUAAACUUUAUGGAAGCCAUCUUGAUCCCUGUACUCACAGGCCAUGAAAAUCAGCAGUGGGUUCAUCAGGGUUAAUAGCAUUAACAUAAUGCCAGACCUCGUGAAAAAAUGGUCAAUGUUCACUACUUGUCAGACGAUCGGACUAGUUUUAAACUUUUUAGCUCUGGUGGCUUGCUGCGUUAGUGCAGUGACGCGGUUGUGGUGGGUGGAUUGCUUCAUCAUUGUUGUCAUGAUAUUUAAUGCCAUCGUGUUGUUUAUCCAACCAUGGAAAUCGCAACGGAGCUGUACACAACUCGAUUGGAUGAAACUUUGUGCAGACAUAGUAGUAAUCCUAAAAUUCUGUCUCGAAAUGAAAUACAACGAAGAGUAUUGUAUCAUAUUGUAUCAGGCUAUUGUCAUUUGGAGAGCCGGUAGGCGGGUGUGGCUAAUAUAU